CCCAAUGAUGAUACAUCGCGUGAGGCGCAGGACAAAAUGUCAAAAACCUGCCCAAAGCUGCUGAGAGAAGCAGCGAAUUUGAUUGAAGAAGCUCUGAGCAGAACUCCUCCGGCUCCGGCGGCUCAGUCACAGCAAAUACCUGCUGCUCCAUCACGUCACGUUACACCUGUCCAAGCCGAGGUAGCAAGGCUCUUCGCGCCGUAUAACGGUGGAGCCAGAAGGAAUAUGAUGAGACGACCAGCACAAGUCCAAGUGCGUCGAAGAAGCUACACACACACACUUUCUGUUGCUUGGCUGACCACAAGGCGGAUAAAGUUCCAAGCGUGCUGCUUAAAGCAGACCUCCUCACUUCUGGACUUGGAGAGCAAAAAGUGACAUUUUCAGGAGAGCUCACAAACUGCAUCUGGUCCAGUCAUCCCCUGCAUCACCUGUCAAGAGGAAGUUCUCUUUUCAGAGAUGAAGCUGAAAGGGACUGAAAGAUGUGAUGGUAUGGCCCCUGCUGACAUCUAGGCCAGAUGUUGUCUCACUUCUUUUCCCUAAAAUGGCUGAAAUGCAGUUCACACCCCAGAUGCUCCUAGAAAAAAAUCACAUGGCCAGCUGAGGACAGUGAUGAUGAAGACUUUGACAUUGAGUCCUCGUGCCGCAUCACUGGCUUUCUAAGGAUGUUCAUUGAAACAGCUUCAUCAGGUACACUGGCCCAGCUGCUGACAUUCUGGGUUGGCUGGGAGAAGCUUCCUCCUGAACUGAAAGUGGAGACCUCUGGGGGAACCCUUCCUACGUCCGCCACAUGCUUUGAAACACUAAAGCUGCCAGCUCAUUUCAAAGCCUACAUGGACUUCAAGGAAGCACUUGUCUCUGCCAUAAGUAGUGCACAGACUGGAUUAGGACUUGUUGAAGUUUUCAGACAGAUGUCAUUGAAUGCACUGUUCAGUAGGUCAGGUCAAUUGAAAACAUGAAACAUACUGUGCAGUAGUUGAUAAAAUUCAUAAUAUUUUUUCCACUUACUGAAACCAAACAGUUCUGCAUGUUCAGCUUUCAGUGUGAACAGAACAGCAUUCAUGUUAUUCAUUCUGUGGCCAAUAAUGAGACGGGAAGAAAAGGAGUGGCGCUAUGCAUGAAGUGCAUUUACAAGAUCUUAACAAUGAUUAUGGUAGAGCUUCAAAGUAAAACAGCUUUUUAUACCCCUUUUUUUAAGGAAAGCAAACUUUUUCAGUUUAUGCUUGCUUGUUGUAAGAUGCUAAAUAAAAGCAUAGGUUGGACAUCAGUCUGCUAUGAUUCUUGAUAAAACUUGCACAGUCUCUACAUAUGAUCUAAGUGCAUCAGUUACAGAAGCUCCUGGAGCUGGCAAAAUGGCAACCUCUUCCAGCGAGAGCUCACGGGCCAGCUGAACCUCUGGGACUGACACAGUGCCUCCAUGAAGACUGUGAGGUCCGUUCCAGUCGAUCCCAUAGUCUUCAUAAACCUGAAUGGAGGACAAGCAUGAUCAAUCUCGUACUUGAAACUAGUCUUACACAUCAUUACACAAUUUUUUUUUAUAAAACUGAAUAGGCAACAUUUAAUUUCUCAUCAACUUGGUGACCAAAAAUAAGUCUUAAAUUAGUAGUUAUGCAGAGUAUA